rnacentral:rRNA from 1 species
GGAUUAGAUACCCUGGUAGUCCACGCCGUAAACGAUGAGUACUAGGUGUUGUGGGUAUUGACCCCUACAGUGCCGACGCUAACGCAUUAAGUACUCCGCCUGGGAAGUACGGCCGCAAGGCUAAAACUCAAAGGAAUUGACGGGGGCCCGCACAAGCGGUGGAGCAUGUGGUUCAAUUCGACGCAACGCGAAGAACCUUACCCGGGUUUGACAUUGACGGAACCCUGUAGAGAUACGGGGGUGCCCUUCGGGGCCCGGAAAACAGGUGCUGCAUGGCUGUCGUCAGCUCGUGCCG